rnacentral:sRNA from 1 species
AUUGUUAAAAGAUACAAAGACAAAGACGCAUAGAGACUUCGGCUACACCAUCAAAGCUUUGAGAACAAAGAAGAAUCUUGGUUAGUGUUUUGGAGUCGAAUAUGACUUGAUGUCAUGUGUAUGAUUGAGUAUAAGAACUUAAACCGUAAUUAGAUCUUAAAAGCCUAAGUAGUGUUUCCUUGUUAGAAGAUACAUAGUCAAAGACUCAUACGUAGUUUAGCUACACCAUCAAAGCUUUGAGAAGCAAGAAGAAGCUUGGUUAGUGUUUAGGAGUCAAAUAUGACUUGAUGUCAUGUGUAUGACUGAGUAUAACAACUAGAACCGCAACCGGAUCUUAAAAGCCUAUGUAUUGUAUCCUUGUUAGAAGAUACAAAGACAAAGACUCAUAUGGACUUCGGCUAUGAUAAUAGCUUUUUAGUCAAUUAUCCUAAAACACCAAUCAUGUCAUUGUAGUAUUUUAGGUUGUCAAUCCAAAUGGGUGUGAUACUAACAAUCAAGAUGUGAUCAGAAGUCACUAAGUCAAGCCAAGCAUAACAGGUUUUGGUGUGUUCCAGCAGUCCUAAGUGAACAUGCAGAAAACAGAAAAUCAAACAGAAACAGUAAAACACUCGACCAACACAGCUCUUUGCAGAGCUCAGGGUGAGGUCGAGUGACAGGUCGAGUAACAAACAGGAAAUGAAACAGGGAUACUCGACUGCACAGUCUGUUGCCAAACAACUGGGUGGUCGAGUAUCAGAUCGAGUAACAGUAAAGAAUUGUAGAAACUAAGCAACAGAUGACAGGAUGCAGUAAACAGUAGUAGAGUAAACAAUAAAAUCAAUCAGAUAAAGAAUUCCUAAGGAUGGGAUAAUUGAGUAGUUUCGUUUCCUCAGUUUACAGGUGAUUAACAUGCUCAAUAAAUUAACCCUAGACAACAAGUUCAUUAACCAAAUCUAAGUGCCACCGCAACAGAGACUCUCAAGCUAACCUAGUCCCAGACUCAAUCACCAUUGACGAGAGCUAACCUAAUAGGCAUUACGAAUCAACAAGUUAAAGCCAAAACGCUCCCUGCAACCAAUACCUUGGUACAGGGUCACGAAUCUCUGGAAUUAGUGGUUCAGACAUUUCAUCGAACACCUUUUGGACGCGGAAAUGUCUGGGCUCAAAUUCCAGUUGAUCAGAAAGCAAUAGGCAUUAAGAACAACUAAUCCAGAAGGGAUCUAUCAAUCAAUACUCAAUCACCUAGCAUACUAAGAAUUCUACACUACUCUAACCCAUCCUCAGAAACCUAUUCACUACUCAGACAUCAUAACAGAAAGCAUAAACGUUGAACAGGUUGAAGACAUGAUAACAACAGUGUAACAGUAGUGUGAUAACAGAAUGAACAACAGUAAACGAAAAUCAAGAACCAAAGCUGAAUACUGAAUAGAUAAUGAGAAAUCUGGAUUACAAAAAGUCUAGAACACAAGGUCUGCGGAAAUAAAACUAGGUAAAAACUUCUUUUCUGCGAAAAUAAGAAGUACAUGCUACUUAUAGCCAAAUAUCCCGAAACUCUAAUACUCAAAACGACGAAGUAUUUGGACGGGUUAAGAACUGUACUCGACCCAGGUGGUCGAGUGAGAGGUCGAGUGAAUAGCUGGAGUCUUCUUUUCUUCCUUGUGCUCGAGUGUCUGGUUGAGUGCGGAAUGAAGAAGGCUCUGAAGCUUGUCAUCGAGUAUGCAGUCGAGUGGUGUGAUGGAGGUACUCGACCUCUAGGCAGAGUGAUGUGGUCGAGUAGUGGUCUAGCAGUGAAGGUGAAGACACUCGACCUCAUGGUCGAGUGAAGUGAUCGAGUGAUGGAGACGAGGGCACUCGACCUCGUGGUCGAGUGGUGAAGUGAAGUGGUGAUGUCCUCUGCUCGACCUGGGGGUCGAGUGGUCUCUUGAGGUCUUGAAGCUCCUACUCGACCUCUGGGUCGAGUGGUUUGUCACGAUCAGGUCCGCUUCUUCCAGAUAGCUCGUCAACAGCUCCAAAUCACCUGAAAUCAACGCAAAUAUGUAACAUGCAUGCAAAACUAUCCUAAACAUGCAAAGUAAUGACAAAUGAUGUGAAAUGGUAUAAAACAGUGAUGAUAUGAUGCUAAAGUGAUGACAAAUGGAUGCUCAAAACAUGCAAAAUACACACUUAUCAACUCCCUCAAACUUAGUCUUUGCUUGCCCUCAAGCAAACAAUCAAGAACAAGCUGGAGGUGAGGUUUGAAAGCGGGGACUCAGAGCCAAAGCACUAGAUAAACCAGAUGAAAUCAAUGUCCAAGUUGAAAGUUCUAAGCUGCAAGAUCGAAUUCUACUUAAAAACGUUAGCCAUGCCUCAUCAAUCAAUCAAUCCGACUCAUAUGCUCGACCUACAUAAGUUUUCAAAUCUACCAAUCCCUUUAACAUUCAUUAGUUUUGGAACGUGAAUCAAGCAAUGCAUCAUCAAAGAACUCAUUUGGUUAAGGUAAAAGGUCAAGAGACAAAGAUGGUCCCUUACAGAAUAGGCUUCAGUAACAGGGGAUCUCUCAAAAAAUGAUUAAGCUUUAGUAGAAUGCUAAAGGUAAGUCCCAAGCUAUGCCUACAGAGAUAAGAUCCCAUCUACCCAGAGUACAUCAAAUGAAGCACUAAUGGUAAUCCCAUCUCCAAUCCCAAUACAAGAACUAAACUCUACCCUUUGCAUUCAUGAAUCUUUUAAGCCCUUUUUCUAAUCAUUCUUUUCUUUUCUCUUAACUCUAGGAGAAGCUUUCUCAACACUUUGUUACAUCUAGCGGAUUUGGAUUUCUUUAACAACUAAGGUUCCUGUUUUUAACAUUUUAAAGCCAAGGGCUUUUGCCCAUCUCCAAUAGCUAACAAGAACUCUUUU